AAGCCUUGUAUCCCAUCUGACAGUCUUCGUGACAGUGACAGUACGAACAAGGAGAAGAAGACGUACUGCUGGAAUCAAUACGUCACGAUGGAGAACUCCACUUUGAACGCAGGAGACAUCACCGAAAGACGUUUUAGUCUUCUGUUUUUCUUCUUGCGAUUAGUAGGAAUCCCUGUGAACAGGAAGACGUCCUCAUGCUAUCGCUCCUUGUACAACACGGUGUUUUCCAUCUGCAUGUACAACCUGUACCUGGAAUUUACCAUGGAUUUCAUCACAAGCAAAGAUUUGGAUAAUGGCAUUGUGAAGAUCCGUUUCUUUCUGGGGACAACUGUCGUAAUGUGGAUGCACCUGUACCUCAGGAUUCGUAAAUCUGCUUUUGAGGGCCUGUUUGCUCUCACGGAAUCCUUCAGAUGGGAGGACCAACCAGAAACCGACCCCGAUACGAAAGUUUUAACAAUGGCUGGACUGAUCACUCGAAUUCAGAGAUACAUGCUGUGUGCAAUAAUUUUUAUCAACGGAUAUCACAUAACCAGCACAAUUAUAAUCAGAGCGAAACAUUACUUCCUGAUGUUUGAAACGUGGCACCCAUUUGACAACUCGUCAAUGCUGGUCUUGCAAAUAACGAAUAUCUCAGAGAUAUUUGGCUCACUUGCGAUUAUAACCACAUUGAUGACCUUCACGUGUCUAUAUGGCGUGAUGGUGUGUGUGGCGUGCAGUCAGCUGGAGAAGCUGAGGGCAGCUCUCCUGGACAUCAAACAGGAGACCUCAGAGCACGAGGGAACGUUCAGUCGCAUGCAGGAUCAGCUCAAUGCCUGCAUACGUCAUCACCAGGAGAUAAAAAGGUUCAUGCAGGAAAUUGAGGACGUGUUCAAUCCCUGCUUUUGUGGCCUGUUCCUCAUCAUACUAAUUACAUUAUGCUGCUUGGCCUUCUCCGGAGUCAUGAGCUGGGGCCACCCUGCAGACGUAAUACAAGCCGUCAUAGCCUAUUUCGCUCUGCUGCUGAGUGUGUUCAUAUUCUGCAGGCUGGGAACUGAGUUGACCGCGCAGGCGGAGAGUGUGGGCGAUUCGGCCUGGGGAUGCGACUGGGUUGGUACUCCUGUACAUUUCCAGCGCUGCCUGGCCUUCGUCAUUGCAACAGCUCAAAAGGAGUUCACACUCACAGCCGGGAAAUUUGUUCCCGUUUCCAACACCACGAUGAUGAACGUACGGUUAUUUUAAGUAUGAUUAUAUAAGGAACAUAUGCACUUAUCAUCCACAGAAGCGAAAAGAUAAACACAGCUUUGAUUCUGGCUAAUAUUAUUAUUAUCCGAUAUUCUAGUCGGCCGAUUAACAAUAACCGCAUUACCGCAAUUAGAAUUAAAACACAGCUCUCCUUCAUCAGCCGCGAAGGUUACUUUCCUGAAAUACACGAUGUCCAAGGUUUUUAAUGCAAAGUGGAAAGAUCUCCUGGUGAAAUGGCCACGGGAUGUUCCGUGUGUACACAGCAUGGCAGCAUUUCAGCUUUGCCACUACUAGGAUAAAUAUUUCGGAGCUCCUUACGAGAACACGUUUUGUGAAUGUAGCACAGGCCAACAGAUAAGUACAAAUGCAGUCGAACAGCGUUUCACCCGUUAAAAUCACGUAACAAACAACAUAUAAUUACAUACACUACUAGCGCCUUAUUCUCUGCGAUGCAAGUGUUAACAACGUUGUCGGUGUGGAAAGAUUUCUUAUUCGUCGUAUGAAAAUCUACCUCUCGCAACUAUUUACAUCCGUUGAAGGCGUUUUGAUCAGCAGUCUACACCUAAACAUAGGAUUUCGUUAGCAAAGCCCAUUCAUUACAAAUUCAUCGUCCUUGAGAUCUUCAAAAGGGAACUUAUGAUUUUUCCAUCUCCUGGUACAUUGUUUCUUCUAGAAUGUUAUCGAAAUUCUUCCGUGUUGGUUCCAUUAGGCCUCAUAACACUUGUAUAACUUAGGAACAACGGAGACACGAAAACCCACUCUCUUCAGUUAAUUGUUUUUUUGGCAUUCAUUAGAUUCAAUACAAAUCUCCCCUUAAGAAACGCAUGUAACUUGCGACUAACGUAGAUAUAUUAAAAUUCCUAAUAUAAUACAAGGAGCAGUUAUCAGCGCACGAUAAACCAAACUAAUAAGGCACGGUUCGGCACACUCGUCUCCAAGCUGAAAAUAUGUGCUAUUACCAACCCCUGUCAUGCAAAAGAUAUAUUCCUUAGUCAUACCGAUGGUGUGGGAUUCCAAGAACAGGUCAUGUCAGAUAACCAAAUGUUUCAAGCAACAAAAAGACAAACUGGGCAGUGAAACCUAAACCGAACUACGGUUUUACAACGGAGAAUAACACACACAAGAAGUCACCGGCACGUGUUCAGACAGCAACAUAUGAUGAACCAGUCGGUAUCUUUCUUCAUGUUCCUUCUGCAAAUGAAAUACA